GGAGGAUCCAAGCGUUAUCCGGAAUCAUGGGUUUAAAGGGUCCGUAGGCGGUUUAGUAAGUCAGUGGUGAAAGCCCAUCGCUCAACGGUGGAACGGCCAUUGAUACUGCUAGACUUGAAUUAUUAGGAAGUAACUAGAAUAUGUAGUGUAGCGGUGAAAUGCUUAGAGAUUACAUGGAAUACCAAUUGCGAAGGCAGGUUACUACUAAUGGAUUGACACUGAUGGACGAAAGCGUGGGUAGCGAACAGGAUUAGAUACCCUGGUAGUCCACGCCGUAAACGAUGGAUACUAGCUGUUGGGAGCAAUCUCAGUGGCUAAGCGAAAGUGAUAAGUAUCCCACCUGGGGAGUACGGGCGCAAGCCUG
rnacentral:rRNA from 1 species